rnacentral:lncRNA from 1 species
AGCAGUGGCCGGUGACAGUUCACAUCGUGGCCGCUCCAGGCUCAUCAGUUGAGAACUUACUAUGUGCUGGGCACUGUGUUAAGGAAAAUACAUAUUAGCAAACUCUUUCAACCAGCCAGUGUUGCGCUAAAGCUGCUGCUUGCCUCUUCCUUUUCAUGCUACCAAAGCGGAGUUCAGCACAACAGAAACAGAUGGACAGAAAGUUUCAGAAGACAUGGGAUUUUAAAAACCACCGAUCUGUUAGGAAACAGCCUUGUUUCCUCAUUUCCACGGAAGUAAGGGUUUAUUGGAAUCUAUGGACACCACAGAAAACCACCACUCCUGACAUGAAGGUAAGCUUUCUUCAAUCCUGUGGACAAUGGCAACACCUCAGGAGAUGGUGAAGAAAUAAGAUGGUAGGACCUUGAGUCCCUGAAUGACUGUGUGGAGCAGCACUGCCCUUCCAGUUCUGUACACUCACCUCAGGACUACUUCAGGAGGGAAAUACAAACUCUAAUUGAAGGCAUUCUCUUUUCAUUGUCUCU